GUUAAAUUAUUUUGAAUAAUAGUAUAUUAAAAUAAUUUGGGAAUAUUAUUUUAUUUUAUUUUAAAUAAAAAACAAUUAAAAUUUAAGAAACACGUUUCAUAUUUACGUGGAAGAUACACGUUUGAACAUCCAACUGUGUUCUGGCACGUACGGCAAAGUCCACAACGCCGACCUAAUUCCGGUGAUGAUGAUCAUAAUGCCUCUCGCCCUCCCUAACAAAAUCGGAUUCUCGUCACCUUUUCUCUAUAAACCAAGCACAACAAGGGGAGGGGGAGGAGGAGGAGGAGGAAGCAGUUGUUUUGCUUUUACUUGUCGCUCUGUUUCAUCACUUACCAGCUUCACUUGGGACGGCGUCGUUCAAGCCUCUCAAGCUGACUAUGCCCCAAAUGAUUCUUCAGAUCUCUCUGGCUUCUUCGAAAAGAUCAAAUACUGCAAUCGCGGCUCCUCCGAGAUAAAAUCUGAAUUUAUUCCAUUGGUGAUAGAGGAUCAAAUAGUUGGUUACAUACAUAACGGUUUUUUUUAUAAUUAUUUGAGGAGGUUUAAGGACGUGUUUGUUUUUGUGCCAAGUGAUUCUCGUUUUGGCACCAAUGUGACUUUAAAUAAAACACUAAGCACACCAGAGGAAAGAACCAGAGUUGUUGGAAAAGUAAUCGAAUGCUUGGCAGAAGAAGAAAAGGAACUGAUUCCAGGAAUACGAAAUGAGUUGUACCCAGUCGCACCUUCGUUUGGAUCGCCCCCCUAUUUUUCCAUUGAACGUGCUGCUGCUACUUAUUUUGGAAUUAAGGCAUAUGGAGUUCAUAUGAAUGGUUUUGUGAAAAGCGAUGGGGAGAAGUUCUUAUGGAUAGGAAAGAGAAGUCCAAUGAAACAAACUUUUCCUGGGAUGCUUAAUCAUCUUGUUGCUGGUGGACUGCCUCAUGGGAUGUCUUGUGUUGCAAAUCUUAUAAAGGAAUGUGAAGAGGAAGCAGGGAUUCCUCUAUCCCUUUCUAAUCAAGCCAUGUCAGUUGGUGCUGUUUCUUAUGUGGAUGUUGAUGGGUAUAGAUACGAGAGGGGUGUUCUAUUUUGUUAUGAUUUAGAACUCCCUGGUGGUUUUAUUCCUAAGAAUCAAGAUGGGGAAGUGGAGAGUUUCAAGUUGAUCCCCUUGGAAAAUGUUGCAAAUGUAAUACGGAGGACCCAUUUUUUCAAGCCUAAUUGCUCUCUUGUUAUCAUGGAUUUUCUGUUUCGACACGGAUCAUUGGAACACAAGGAGUGAUGAGGUAGAUCAUGGUGUAUUCCCCGUAACCUCCACCAUUUUCUAGAUCAUUGGAACACAAGGAGUGAUGAGGUAGAUCAUGGUGUAUUCCCCGUAACCUCCACCAUCACCGCUAUAUAAUACUAUCUUGAUGGGUUUUCAGCCAUAUCAUUCUUACAUGCAGAGAAAAUCACUCGAGGCGCAACUCAAGGACACUUCCUCUAAAUCUUUCUUUUCAUGAUUUAGUUUUGUGGAAUGGUUAUUGUACAUUGGUCCUGAAUGCUUGGGAUACUUGGAUCUAUUACAAAGUUUGAGAAGUGGAGAUACUUCCUAAAAAUAGAUGCUGAAUUUCAUUAAAGAUGCUGUAAUUGUUCUUAAUUACAUUAAGACAGGCAAGAGCAUGAUGAAGUCCUUGGGAUCAAGGAUGAUAGUGCUGAGUACAUUUGGUUUGCACCUGUCCAAGAGGCCAAAUUUGAGUUUUGCUUCUCUCGUUUCAUCAUCAAAGAGGAAUCCUAAUUUAUUGUA